UACGUAGGGUGCGAGCGUUGUCCGGAAUUAUUGGGCGUAAAGGGUGCGUAGGCGGUUUUGUAAGUCUUGUGUGAAAUCUUCAGGCUCAACUUUGAAGACUGCACGAGAAACUGCAGGGCUUGAGUGUGGGAGAGGUGAGUGGAAUUCCUGGUGUAGCGGUGAAAUGCGUAGAUAUCAAGGAGGAACACCUGUGGCGAAAGCGGCUCACUGGGACCACAACGUGACGCUGAUGCACGAAAGCUGGGGGGAGCAAACGGG
rnacentral:rRNA from 1 species